UACGUAGGGCGCAAGCGUUGUCCGGAAUUAUUGGGCGUAAAGGGCUCGUAGGUGGCCAACUAAGUCAGACGUGAAAUCCCUCGGCUUAACCGGGGAACUGCGUCUGAUACUGGAUGGCUUGAGUUUGGGAGAGGGACGCGGAAUUCCAGGUGUAGCGGUGAAAUGCGUAGAUAUCUGGAGGAACACCGGUGGCGAAGGCGGCGUCCUGGACCAACACUGACACUGAUGAGCGAAAGCCAGGGGAGCAAACGGG
rnacentral:rRNA from 1 species